UCCCAGACUCCUACGGGAGGCAGCAGUGGGGAAUAUUGCACAAUGGGGGGAACCCUGAUACAGCGACGCCGCGUGGGUGAAGAAGCGCCUCGGCGCGUAAAGCCCUGUCAGCAGGGAAGAAAAUGACGGUACCUGAAGAAGAAGCCCCGGCUAACUACGUGCCAGCAGCCGCGGUAAUACGUAGGGGGCAAGCGUUAUCCGGAUUUACUGGGUGUAAAGGGAGCGUAGACGGCGCUGCAAGUCCGGAGUGAAAGCCCAUGGCUUAACCAUGGUACUGCUCUGGAAACUGUGGAGCUUGAGUGCGGGAGGGGCAGGCGGAAUUCCUAGUGUAGCGGUGAAAUGCGUAGAUAUUAGGAGGAACACCGGCGGCGAAGGCGGCCUGCUGGACCGUAACUGACGUUGAGGCUCGAAAGCGUGGGGAGCAAACAGGAUUAGAUACCCGAGUAC
rnacentral:rRNA from 1 species